AUUUUUAGAAAAAUUAUCCAAAUAUGAUCCAUCAGGUUUUUAAGGAACGCAUAUUUGUUCAUCUUUCAAUUAUCAUUGUAUUGCAUUGCAUUAUAU